rnacentral:rRNA from 1 species
UGGGGAAUAUUGGACAAUGGGGGCAACCCUGAUCCAGCAAUGCCGCGUGUGUGAAGAAGGUCUUCGGAUUGUAAAGCACUUUCGACGGGGACGAUGAUGACGGUACCCGUAGAAGAAGCCCCGGCUAACUUCGUGCCAGCAGCCGCGGUAAUACGAAGGGGGCUAGCGUUGCUCGGAAUGACUGGGCGUAAAGGGCGUGUAGGCGGUUUACACAGUCAGAUGUGAAAUCCCCGGGCUUAACCUGGGAGCUGCAUUUGAUACGUGUAGACUAGAGUGUGAGAGAGGGUUGUGGAAUUCCCAGUGUAGAAGUGAAAUUCGUAGAUAUUGGGAAGAACACCGGUGGCGAAGGCGGCAACCUGGCUCAUGACUGACGCUGAGGCGCGAAAGCGUGGGGAGCAAACAGGAUUAGAUACCCUGGUAGUCCACGCUGUAAACGAUGUGUGCUAGAUGUUGGGUAACUUUGUUAUUCAGUGUCGCAGUUAACGCGUUAAGCACACCGCCUGGGGGAGUACGGCCGCAAGG